rnacentral:lncRNA from 1 species
CUCCUUUCAUUUCGCUGCAGCUAUCGACUGGAACGAGCUGCAAAAAACACUCAAACUGCACACUUUUAUCUCCAUCUACAAUCAAAGACUCAAUCAAUCAAUGUUUCUACCAUGUUUUGUGCUGCUAUAAUGUUGUGCUGCUAACAUGUUGUCAUGGUAGCAACACAACAUGACAACAACACAGCAUGGUACAGACAUUAUUGGGCACAAACAACAACACAAAGGGUAAAAAGGUAGAGACAACAACACAUCACGCGAAGCAGCCACAACUGUCAGUAAGAGUGUCCAUGAAUAAGUCUUUGAAUGUAGAGAUGGAGAUAAAACUGUCCAGUUUGAGUGUUUUUUGCAGCUCGUGCAACAAACUGAAAAGAGGAGCGACCCAGGGAUGUGUGUGCUUUGGGGACCUUGAACAGAAUGUCACUGGCAGAACGGGUGUUGUAUGUGGAGAAUGAGUGCUGCAGUAGAUAUCUCAGAUAGAGGGGAGUGAGGCCUAAGAGGGUUUUAUAAAUAAGCAUCAACCAGUGGGUCUUGUGUUGGGUUUACAGAGAUGACCAGUUUACAGAAGAGUAUAGAGUGCAGUGGUGUCCUAUAAGGAGCAUUGGAGGCAAAUCUGAAUGCCGAAUGGUAAAGAACAUCUAGCCGCUCGAGAGCACCCUUACCUGCUGAUCUAUAAAUUAUGUCUCCAUAAUCUACCAUGGGUAGGAUGGUCAUUCUGAAUUAGGGUUCGUUUGGCAGCAGGGGUGAAAGAGGAGCGAUUACGAUAGAGGAAACCAAGACUAGAUUUAACCUUAACCUGCAGCUUGAAUAUGUGCUGUGAGAAGGACAGUGUAGCCAUACCCACAACUAUUUGUAUGAGGUUAGUACCUCAAGCUCUAAACCCUCAGAGGUAGUAAUCACACCGGUGGGGAGAGGGGCAUUCUUCUUACCAAACCACAUGACCUUUGUUUUGCUGUGGUCCCGUGUGGCUCAGUUGGUAGAGCAUGGUGUUUCCAAUGCCAGGGUUGUGGGUUUGAUUCCCACGGGGGGCCAGUAUGAAAAAAAAUGUAUGAAAUGUAAGCAUUCACUACUGUAAGUUGCUCUGGAUAAGAGUGUCUGCUUAAAAUGUAAAAAAAAAAAAUAAUAAUAAAAAAAAUGUUUGGAGGUGUUCAGAACAAGGUUAAGGGCAGAGAAAGCUUGUUGGACACUAAGAAAGCUUUGUUGUAGAGCGUUUAACAAAAAAUCCAGGGAGAGGCCAGCUGAGUAUAAGAAUGUAUCAUCUGUAAAUAAAUGGAUGAGAGAGCUUCCUACUGCCUGAGCUAUGUUGUUGAUUUUUACAUUUUACAUCCUGUUUGGCCCUGUCCGGGGGUAUCAUCGGAUGGGGCCACAGUGUCUUCUAAUCCCUCCUGUCUCAGCCUCCAGUAUUUAUGCUGCAGUAGUUUAUGUGUCAGGGGGCUAGGGUCAGUCUGUUACAUCUGGAGUAUUUCUCUUGUCUUAUCCGGUGUCCUGUGUGAAUUUAAAUAUGC